rfam:Picea glauca, whole genome shotgun sequence.
UAUAAUUAAUAUAUUAUAUAUUAUAUGAUAGGGGUUAAUGUGUUAAUAAUCACCAAACUUAGACAUUGAAUCUACACCUCCUAACCUUCUAAAUCAUCGACCCAUAACCCAUAACCCUUCUAAAGAUUCAAUGUGAUUUAUUCCCAUUGCUUUGCAUGUCAAAGUGAAGAAAUUCAACCAAGCACGGUUAAACAACGUGAGUAACUAUGACUAUCUUAAGGUAGACCGAUUCCUCAUCAUAUAAUUGUUGACGUGCAUGAAUGGAUCAUUAAUGAGAUUCCCCACCGUCUCUAGCUACUAUAUUCUAGAUAAACCACAUUGAAGGGAAUGGGCUUGGAAGAAUUAGCAAGGAAGGAAGACCCUGCUGAGCUUGACUCUAGUCCUAACCCAUUCAUAGUUUGGGAAAAUUAGGGCAUAGU